UUGACCUCGGAUCAGGUAGGAAUACCCGCUGAACUUAAGCAUAUCAAUAAGCGGAGGAAAAGAAACCAACAGGGAUUGCCUCAGUAACGGCGAGUGAAGCGGCAACAGCUCAAAUUUGAAAUCUGGCCUCACGGUCCGAGUUGUAAUUUGUAGAGGAUGUUUUGGGCACCGCCCCGGGUUAAAUUUCUUGGAACAGAAUGUCAAAGAGGGUGAGAGUCCCGUCUUGGCCCGCGGUAGGACCUGUGUAAAACUCCUUCGACGAGUCGACUUGUUUGGGAAUGCAGGUCAAAAUGGGUGGUAAAUUUCAUCUAAAGCUAAAUAUUGGCCAGAGACCGAUAGCGCACAAGUAGAGUGAUCGAAAGAUGAAAAGCACUUUGAAAAGAGAGUUAAACAGUAUGUGAAAUUGUUGAAAGGGAAGCGCUGGCAACCAGACUCGAGCGCGGUGUUCCCCCUUGCUUCUGCCUGGGUUAUUUCACCGUGACCGGGCCAUCAUCAGUUUUGGGGGUUGGUUAAAGAUUCGGGGAAUGUAUCCUCUCCUUCGGGGGAGGACUUAUAGCCCCGGAUGUCAUGCAGCCUCCCGGGACUGAGGAACGCGCUUCGGCGAGGAUGAUGGCGUAAUGGUUGUCAGCGACCCGUCUUGAAACACGGACCAAGGAGUCUAACAUCUAUGCGAGUGUUCGGGUGUCACACCCUUGCGCGGAAUGAAAGUGAACGGAGGUAGGAAGGCUUGAGCCUGCACUAUCGACCGAUCCUGAUGUCUUCGGAUGGAUUUGAGUAAGAGCAUAGCUGUUGGGACCCGAAAGAUGGUGAACUAUGCGUGAAUAGGGUGAAGCCAGAGGAAACUCUGGUGGAGGCUCGCAGCGGUUCUGACGUGCAAAUCGAUCGUCAAAUUUGCGUAUAGGGGCGAAAGACUAAUCGAACCAUUGGUAAAUCACUACUAGGUGGUUAAGAGUCGCGUGUGAAAAGCACCGGCUAGUCGCGAGUCCGCGGCAAGGUCGUCAAAUUGCGGGAACACCCUAAAGCCUGAGGUACCGCCGACUGUCCCGAAAGGGCGUUGAGGCACCACGGAGAGAUUUCGUGGGUAUGGUAACAAUCCAAGGGAUGGCCUAGGUUAAACCCUAGGCCGCUGUAAUGGGCAAUCCGCAGCCAAGCCUGUCCCCCCCCCCCCGUCCGGGGAGGGAUCGGGUGCAGUUCAUCGACUAGAUGUCGACCGGGUUCUGGGCCUCUCACGAAGCCCUGGAGCCUCAAGAUAUAGUCAGGCCCUCGGGGAGACCCGAGCGGAGGAACAAAGUAAAGGGGGCCGGACUCUUCCACAGAAGCCCGCUUUACCCGAGUCCCUCCCGGCCGGUCGUCAUGAGAGACCGGUGGAUCAAAGCUGGUAGCUGGUUCCUGCCGAAGUUUCCCUCAGGAUAGCAGUAACGUUUUCAGUUUUAUGAGGUAAAGCGAAUGAUUAGAGGCCUUGGGGUUGAAACAACCUUAACCUAUUCUCAAACUUUAAAUAUGUAAGAAGUCCUUGUUACUUAGUUGAACGUGGACAUUUGAAUGUAUCGUUACUAGUGGGCCAUUUUUGGUAAGCAGAACUGGCGAUGCGGGAUGAACCGAACGCGAGGUUAAGGUGCCGGAAUGCACGCUCAUCAGACACCACAAAAGGUGUCAAUGCAUCUAGACAGCCGGACGGUGGCCAUGGAAGUCGGAAUCCGCUUAGGAGUGUGUAACAACUCACCGGCCGAAUGCAUUGGCCCUGAAAAUGGAUGGCGCUUAAGCGUGCUACCCAUACCUCGCCGUCAGGGUUGACAUGAUGCCCUGACGAGUAGGCAGGCGUGGAGGUCCGUGACGAAGC
rnacentral:rRNA from 1 species